GUAGCAAUGAUAGAUGCUAUGUCCCUUCAAAAUAAGAUCCAAGACUGUUUGGGAAUCCGAAUAACACAAGAUGCUCGAAAAACCCAAGUCCCUCGCAAUCUUCAAGCCAUGGUAAAUUGCCAUAAGUUCUGCAAAAGUAUUGUCCUUUAAGCCCAAGUAGCCACUGAAACCAAUGAUCCAGCUACCAUCGCUUCUACGGAUUAAACCUCC
rnacentral:lncRNA from 1 species